UCUCCUGCUCUCGGAGCCACUGCCCCACCCCCGCCGUGGGGGGGCGCCGAGGAGGGAGCGGGCGUCUGAGCGCGGAGGCGUGCGGGGAGCGGGCUGGGGAGCGGCGGUCGCUACGGAUCCCCUUGCUCUGACGGCAGCUCAGACGCCCGCGGAGGCGGCUCCGCGGGGCGAGCACGGAAGGGGGCGAGUGCCGGGACCCCUCCCCCUCCGCUCGCGGCGCGCCGCGCGCCCCCGCGUCGCCUGGCGCGCCCCCGCGCCCUCGCGCCGGCCCGGGCAGACACCUACGCAGACGCGAAAGUGAAAGGGGGGUGACCCGGCCCGGCGGGCUACAGGCGGCGCGCGGGCACGCGGCAGGGGGCGGAGGACGGAAGGGUGAACCGGGUUCCCAGGAUUCUCCCGCGCCCGCUGCUCCUCUGCGGAGCCUCCCCGGAGUCCCACGUCCCCACCCCGGCCACGCAGAUCAGCACGUCAGGAGAUAUGUAUGCGUGUGCUUGUGUGUGCGCGCGUGUUCACGCGCACUCGCGGGUUUGCGAGACCAGAAUCAAUUGUGUCUCCAGGAAACACCACUUCCCAUAUUUGUUGGGAAAUAUCAUUUCAAGACCACAAUCAAGUCUCUACUGAUGUUCAUUGCUUUUGGAUUUAUCAUUGUUUCUAGGCACUUUCUGUGUAUAGAAUUAGGAUAUAAACAUACUUCACAAAGUACCUCAUGUGUUCUUACUGAUAUAUCUAGUUGAAAUUUGCAACUAUAGGAUUUUUACUUAACCUAGUCUGUAUUACACUCCUGUUUCCUUUUAAUAGUCUAAGAAUUCUUACAAGACAUAGGAAAUGUUACAAUUAAAAAUUUUAGGCUGGGCACAGUGGCUCAUACCUGUAAUCCCUGCACUUAGGGAGGGUGAGGCGGGUGGAUUACUUGAGGUCAGGAGUUUGAGACAAGCCUGGCCAACAUGGGGAAACCCUGUCUCUACUAAAAAUACAAAAAAUAGCUAGGUGAGGUGGCACGCACCUGUAAUCCCAGGUCUCAGGAGGCUGAGGCAGGAGAAUUGUUUGAACCCAGAAGGCAAAGGUUGCAGUGAGCUGAGAUGUUGCCACUGCACUCCAGCCUGGUCCAUGGAGCAAGACUCCAUCUCAAAAAAAAAAAAAAAAAAGGCCGAGGCGGGCAGAUCACAAGGUUAGGAGAUCGACACCAUCCUGCUGACUAACAUAAUGAAACCCUGUCUCCACUAAAAAUACAAAAAAUUAGCCUGGGGUGGUGUUGCACACCUGUAAUCCCAGCGAAUCGGGAGGCUGAGGCAGGAGAAUCACUUGGACCCAGGAGUAGGAGGUUGCAGUGAGCCGAGAUCACACCACUGCACUCCAGCCUGGGCGACAGAGUGAGACUCCGUCUCAAAACAAAACAAAACAAACAAAAAUCAUAAUUAGUCAUUUGUUUUAUUCCAUGCGAAACAGUUCCAUAACGAUACUACCACUAAUUAGCAUUACAGAAAACAGCUAAAACUUUUUAAUAUGCCACCCUACUCUCUCCUUUGUAAUAGUUUUAAUGUCUCUACAUGUGAGACUGUAUAAUGAGUUAGUUUUAUAUGAAUUUCUAUAUUUAAUUCUUACCCACUGAUACUUACGUAAAUGUCUCGUUGGGUCAUUUGGGUUGCUUUAAGCUAUUUUCUCAGUAGAUUUUUCAUGAAGGAUUCAUGGGAACACCAUUCCCUAAAUUAUAAUAGCUCAUGCUCUUUAUUCUUUAAGACCUGUUUAGCUGGGUAGAAAAUAGUUGUUUCACAUUUUCUUUUCUUGAGUGCAUUUAAUAUAUUUAUUUUCUUUUGGCAUAAAAAUAUUAUACCAAAAAGUCUGAUGAUAAUAUACUUUUAUACCCUUUAUAUGUUACGUGCUAUUUUUAAAAAAACACUAGAGUUUUUACUUUCCUUUAUUGUCUGGCAAUUUCACUAAAAUGUCUUGGUAUUGAUCAUCCUGAGUCUAUCUUGUACACGUUAUGAUCUCUCAAUAUUAGUUGUAAAAAUUGUUUAUUAUUAUUUUAGGAAAGUUUUUAUAAAUAUCUAGUUUUGUU
ensembl:lncRNA